rnacentral:rRNA from 1 species
UACAGAGGGUGCAAGCGUUAUUCGGAAUUAUUGGGCGUAAAGGGCGCGUAGGCGGCCAUGCGUGUCUUCCGUGAAAUCCCUCGGCUUAACUGAGGACGUGCGGAAGAAACUGCAAGGCUCGAGUCCGGGAGAGGGGGGUGGAAUUCCCAGUGUAGCGGUGAAAUGCGUAGAUAUUGGGAGGAACACCGGUGGCGAAGGCGGCCCCCUGGACCGGUACUGACGCUGAGGCGCGAAAGCGUGGGUAGCAAACGGG